rnacentral:rRNA from 1 species
GAUGAACGCUGGCGGUAUGCUUUACACAUGCAAGUCGUACGAGAGUUUUGAACUCAAGUGGCGGACGGGUGAGUAACACGUAAGAAUUUGCCUUUAGGAGGGGGACAACAACUGGAAACGGUUGCUAAUACCCCAUAUGCUUUCGAGUGAAACGGUUUUUCCGCCUAAAGAGAAGCUUGCGGCUGAUUAGCUUGUUGGUAAGGUAAUGGCUUACCAAGGCGACGAUCAGUAUCUGGUUUGAGAGGACGAUCAGACACACUGGAACUGAGACACGGUCCAGACUCCUACGGGAGGCAGCAGUGGGGAAUUUCCGCAAUGGGGC